UGGUCAUCGCAGGAACUUCACUCGAACUAGUAGGGUUGUGAGCCUGUGGUUUGGAGCAGAGAAGAUGCACUUCCCCAUGAGAAAAAGCACAGUGCCUCCAUACCAUUCUCUGUAGAGACACCCAGACAUAAGCAGCCUGUUUGAAGGGCCGAGAAGACCUAUGGUAGAAUAACUUUCUCUCCCAGGAUGGAUUUUCCACAUGUUAUCCACGUGUAUCCAGGUCUCUGGAGUGGAAUAAUCACAGCCUUUGCUUGAAGAAUUCCCUGCCUGUCAGACCCCGAAGGCUCAAGUCUGUGGACAGAAGAUGUGUGAAUACUGAGCUAAAACAGAGUAUAGGCAAGAGUUUUGUCUGUUCACCACUGGGAUUUAAGAACUUAAAGGCCAAGAACUGGCCUCAAAAGCAAAGGAGUGGUGAUCAUUUUGUAAUGUAUAAAAAUAUCGAAUCACUAUGUUUUGCACCUGUAAAAAAAGAAAAAAGACGAGGCGAAGUCAAUAUAUGCUUUAAAAAUAUAUAUAAAAUACACAGAUAUACACACACACUUAUGCAUGUGUGCUAAGUUGCUUCAGUGGUGUCUGAUUAUUUGUGACCCUAUGGACUGUAGCUGGAGAAGGCAAUGGCACCCCACUCCAGUACUCUUGCUUGGAAAAUCCCAUGGACUGAGGAACCUGGUAGGCUGCAGUCCAUGGGGUCGCUAAGAAUCGGACCCGACUGAGCAAUUUCACUUUCACUUUCAUGCAUUGGAGAAGGCAAUGGCACCCCACUCCAGUAUUCUUACCUGGAGAAUCCCAGGGAUGGGGGAGCCUGGUGGGCUGUCAUCUAUGGGGUCG
ensembl:lncRNA